rnacentral:lncRNA from 1 species
UGAGACAGAGAAUCAGGAGAAAUUGUGAGGCAUCCCAUAUUGCUUUUUCCAUCUUGGUUCAUCAGCAGAUUCUCUUCGUGAAGUACAUCUUUCUGGUAGGAUUUUCCAGCUGAUUGUCUUGGUAAUGUUUCAUAGCCCACAUUCUCAUUGCAUUUAUAUUGAUAGUACUGCAUCCCUGCUUCCACCUCGGUUUCUUUCUUUGUCUUCUUAGUAGUUUGCUCAGAAGUAAAACUCUUUUCGAGGUCGUUUACAUACCUUUGGCUUUUUGUCCAAUCCAUUGUAAUUUUCAGCCACUUCAAGAUAUCUUGGUUUUGCUAGUUGAGAAAAUUGCGAUCCGCCAACCAAUGAUGUGCAAUUUAAUUUCCAGUCAAC